rnacentral:tRNA from 1 species
AGCCGGAAUAGCUCAGUGGCAGAGCAGCUGUUUCGUAAACAGCAGGUCGCAGGUUCAAUCCCCGUUUCCGGCUU